rnacentral:rRNA from 1 species
AAUGAACGCUGGCGGCAGGCCUAAUCCAUGCAAGUCGUACGAGUGGAGGACGGGUGAGUAAUGUACGGGAAACUGCACGAGGGAGGGGGCAAAGUACUGGAAAAGGUAGCUAAAACUGCAUAACACCGGUGCGGGUUAGAUGGGAUGAGUGAGUAGGUGGGGUAACGGCUCACCUAGCCGACGCUCCCUAGCAGGUCCGAGAGGAGUACCAGCCACACUGGAACUGAGACACGGUCCAGACUCCUACGGGAGGCAGCAGUGGGGAAUAUUGCGCAAUGGGCGCAAGCCUGAUACAGCCAUGCCGCGUGUAUGAAGAAGGCCUUCGGGUUGUAAAGUACUUUCAGCGGGGAAGCGUUACUCGCAGAGGAAGCACCGGCUAACUCCGUGCCAGCAGCCGCGGUAAUAC